UACGUAGGGUGCGAGCGUUGUCCGGAAUUAUUGGGCGUAAAGAGCUCGUAGGCGGUGUGUCGCGUCGGCCGUGAAAACCUGCAGCUUAACUGUGGGCUUGCGGUCGAUACGGGCAUCACUGGAGUUCGGCAGGGGAGACUGGAAUUCCUGGUGUAGCGGUGAAAUGCGCAGAUAUCAGGAGGAACACCGGUGGCGAAGGCGGGUCUCUGGGCCGAUACUGACGCUGAGGAGCGAAAGCAUGGGGAGCAAACAGG
rnacentral:rRNA from 1 species